UACGGAGGAUGCAAGCGUUAUCCGGAAUGAUUGGGCGUAAAGCGUCCGCAGGUGGCUGUGUAAGUCUGCUGUUAAAUAGUGAGGCUCAACCUCAUAAAGGCAGUGGAAACUACACGGCUAGAGUGCGUUCGGGGCAGAGGGAAUUCCUGGUGUAGCGGUGAAAUGCGUAGAGAUCAGGAAGAACACCGGUGGCGAAAGCGCUCUGCUAGGCCGUAACUGACACUGAGGGACGAAAGCUAGGGGAGCGAAUGGG
rnacentral:rRNA from 1 species